rnacentral:tRNA from 1 species
GGCCGCCUGGCGAAAUGGCAUCGCGUCUGACUACGAUUAGCAACUAUGUCGUUUUGUAAUCAGGAGAUUGCAGGUUCGACCCCUGCGGUGGUCA